GUCAAUGGGACCACACCUUUUGAACAAAAGCAUAUUCAGUUUAUAGAGUUAAAACUGAAAAAUGACUCAUAACCUAAUAUUUCAGCUAAUCCAGUAGCUUAUACAUAAAACAUCAUAACCUUGAAAAACAAAUAUACUUCAAAGAAGAAAAAAACCAUUAAUAAUGCUAUCUGAAAGAUUACAUCCAAGCAAAAAUUUUAAUCACCCCCGUCACCCCAUUCAAAAAAAUUAAUACACCUGAAAACAAUUUUUAUUCAUCCUGCUUAACCCACCCCAUUGGAAUUAUCUUCAGAUAAAGUUAUAAUACCAGAUUACACUUAUUUGUACAUCCAAUAACAACACUGUGGCUGUUAAAAAAAAAAAAAACACAAAAAACACCAAAAAAAAAGAACAAAUAAAAAAAAAAAAGUUAAUCGGUAUGGAAAGGAACUUUAUAGUUAAAACAUAAACCUCAGAAUAAAAUAAAAAAAAUUAUACAAGCAUUACCUUAUGCAAAAGCAUAAUAAACAAAAGCAUAAUAAAAUAAAAUAUUAUACAGGCAUUACUCUAUGCAAAAUGUUACUACUCUAAACAUACAUGUAAAGUAAACCUGGAAUGGAUAUAAUAACUUGAAAAGUAUUUACAAAAAGGAAAAAGUCUAGCAAAAAGCAUCUAAUUACUAGUAAAGUUUACUUGAAGUCCUGAUUUUAACACAGCAGGAACAUAGAUAAUAAAGGUUACACAUAACCUGAUAACCAUGUUACAUAACAAAUCCCC
rnacentral:lncRNA from 1 species